GGCUCAGGACGAACGCUGGCGGCGUGCUUAACACAUGCAAGUCGAACGAUGAAGCCCUUCGGGGUGGAUUAGUGGCGAACGGGUGAGUAACACGUGGGCAAUCUGCCCUUCACUCUGGGACAAGCCCUGGAAACGGGGUCUAAUACCGGAUAACACUCUGUCCCUCAUGGGGCGGGGUUAAAAGCUCCGGCGGUGAAGGAUGAGCCCGCGGCCUAUCAGCUUGUUGGUGGGGUAAUGGCCUACCAAGGCGACGACGGGUAGCCGGCCUGAGAGGGCGACCGGCCACACUGGGACUGAGACACGGCCCAGACUCCUACGGGAGGCAGCAGUGGGGAAUAUUGCACAAUGGGCGAAAGCCUGAUGCAGCGACGCCGCGUGAGGGAUGACGGCCUUCGGGUUGUAAACCUCUUUCAGCAG
rnacentral:rRNA from 2 species